AUCAUGUUAUACCUUACAGAGGGGCAAGGUGUGACAAGUUCCUCAUGGAUAUACACGAUCAUUUACUACAAAAAUCAAUAUUACUUUAAUUUGUUGGGGAAACUAUGUACUAUUAGUUGCUAUAUAAAUGAGAGCUUGGUAAACAGAUGUUUAAUACUAAAAUGACACCAACAUAUGCCACUCUCCAACUAGCUCACUUUAUAAAGGCUCUCCUUACAAAAUAAAUCAUGCAUAGGCUCACAACCUUGAGGCAGCUCAAAUGUUGUGGUGGAACAGUAUUGUGGUGGAAUAUCAAUUGAGGAUGUUGAUUAUAGUACCAAAUCUGGGAAAGGCUCUUUACAG
rnacentral:misc_RNA from 1 species